rfam:Oryza punctata chromosome 7, whole genome shotgun sequence.
AAAGAGUGUAGUUUUACACUAUUUAUAUCUCACGUUUGACCGUUCAUCUUAUUUGAAAGUAUUUUAUAAUUAAUAUUUUCAUUAUUAGAUGAUAAAAUAUGAAUAGUACUUUAUUUGUGACUAAUAUUUUUUAUUUUUUUAUAAAUUUUUUAAAUAAGACGGAUGGUCACAUUGAACACGGAUAUCCACUGUUGCAUUUAAA